UUUUUCCUGAAAUCUGGAUAUAAAUGAUUAAUCUUCUUCCAUUGGGAAGAAUAAGCCAGAUGGCGGAGCAUUCCAUCGGAGUUUCUCUCAUCUGCAUGUCAUGUGAGGUCUUUUGCAUCAUCCUUAUUAACAAACAGACACUUAAACCUUGAAAUGAUAGGAAGAUACCAUGACACCUUUGUUGGGGCGCCAUUCUUUGUGCUUUCAUCAUUGCUACACUUG
rnacentral:lncRNA from 1 species